UAUAUUUUGUGCUGCAAACCCUCUCACUGACGUGCUGCUGAGGGCUCUGGAUGCUACAGGUUGUGUUGUGUUGAGAUGUCAGUUCUCACCCUGAACCUGGAUGACUCUCUGCAGCGACUGGACAGCAUUUUCACAAGGCUUCUGGUCCAACACGGACUGCGACAGAGGCUCCACCUGGGACACAACCCAAACAUCGAAGCCAGCUGACACCAGCACCACAUCUGGGGAAAACUCGUGGGCAAUGGGCAUCACCACGGCUCUGAGGAGGGAGAGAGGAAACAGCGCGCUGUAAACCAAACUUUGCCAUCUUGUUCCAAUCACCCCUCUCCACCAGAGCAGCCAAGGGCCCGGAAAUCCAGGCAGAUCAGUCGUCUUAUCAACUGACACCCAGCCCCCUUCUUCUUUUCCUACCGCCUCUCCUCUGAUUGUGCUUCGACGGUUUCUCAUAGGCAUUGUCUGUGUUUCGCCAUAUCGGAGGAGAAAACAUCUUUAGGUCCU